rnacentral:misc_RNA from 1 species
GAUGAAGAACGCAGCGAAAUGCGAUAAGUAAUGUGAAUUGCAGAAUUCAGUGAAUCAUCGAAUCUUUGAACGCACAUUGCGCCCCUUGGUAUUCCGAGGGGCAUGCCUGUUCGAGCGUCAUUAUAACCCCUCAAGCUCAGCUUGGUGUUGGGGCCUGCUGCACUGGCAGCCCUUAAAAUCAGUGGCGGCGCCAUCUGGCUCUAAGCGUAGUAAUUCUUCUCGCUAUGGAGUCCCGGUGGAUGCUUGCCAUUAACCCCCAAUUUUCUAUGGUUGACCUCGGAUCAGGUAGGGAUACCCGCUGAACUUAAGCAUAUCAAUAAGCGGAGGA